rnacentral:rRNA from 1 species
UUGGAGGGGCAAGUCUGGUGCCAGCAGCCGCGGUAAUUCCAGCUCCAAUAGCGUAUAUUAAAGUUGUUGCAGUUAAAAAGCUCGUAGUUGAAUUUCGGAGUUUGUCGGUUGGUCGGGCUUCAUUGUCCGCACUGGCCUGAUGGAUUCCUACCUUCUGAAUAACCAGCAUGCUAUUAAGUUAGUGCGUUGGGGAAGCAGAGCUAUUACCUUGAAAAAAUUAGAGUGCUUAAAGCAGGCUUAUGCUUGAAUAGAUUAGCAUGGAAUAAUAAAAUAGGACGGCAUGGUUCUAUUUUGUUGGUUUCUAGGAUCACCGUAAUGAUUAAUAGGGAUAGUUGGGGGCAUUAGUAUUCAAUUGUCAGAGGUGAAAUUCUUGGAUUUAUUGAAGACUAACUUCUGCGAAAGCAUUUGCCAAGGAUGUUUUCAUUAAUCAAGAACGAAAGUUAGGGGAUCGAAGACGAUCAGAUACCGUCGUAGCCUUAACCAUAAACUAUGCCGACUAGGGAUCGGACGAUGUUAAUUUUUUAAUGACUCGUUCGGCGCCUUACGGGAAAC